CGAACCCUUCUGUUAGACCCUCACGCCAUGCGGCGCCCAACGACUAGGGAGGUGACGAUGCAAUUGCUCGUGAAUCCUGUGACUCGUUAGCCAAAGCAAGCAGGGCGCAAACAUCGUCACACAUUGCGCGCAGCAGCUUUAUUCAGCAUGGAGACAGCUUCGGACUAGCUCCCCAAAACCCCAAAAAAUGGGGAGCCACAGGCACAAUAUUGUUUUUCCAUAUUUAUACACUGUGCUUUAUACUGUGCAUUAACACUCGUUCGCCCCUCGCCUCUCCUAUGUUCCACCCAUUUCUCCUCCCAUCUCGAGCUCCUCCUCUCUUUCCUGGUUGCUGCAUUCCCAUGGAAUCGCCUCUGCAUUUCCUUCCUUUCCAUGCCUUUCUGCUGAAAGCGCACGCCUAAGCCCUUGACUUGCCUACUUCGGUCGCUGGGCGGAUUUCAGCAAAACUGGAAGCUUCACCAUUUGCCUUUUCGCAUGUGUUCAUCGCGUCUUCUGUCACCAAUGACGUGUUGUUUUCCACAUUCCCGUCUGUUUUUCUGUGCCAGGUUGUACCAUCUUCCACAGUCCUCAAACGUCACCUCGCUCACAGCACACACACUCGCACAGAUUCACUUGCCCUAACACCUUCUUUGUAGCACUGAUAUAUUUACACCAAUAAACCCACCAUGGUGUGCGGGUGUUUGAGCUGUCCCUUAAAAAUAAGCAGCUGUCUGCUUGUCACUGAUAUUACAGAUCCUAUGCCACUCUGUUACCCUUGGCCAAAAUAGCACACCCCUCCCUUUUCUCCCCCAAGCUGUUGGUAUCACGUGUGCUACGUGUCUGUGUAUCUGCAGUGGCUGGCCGAAGGACAGUGGCAUGUCCUGUCUAUAAUUUGGGAAGUAUUUUGCAGUCUUUCAGAACGAAUGAGGAUGCAUGGAUAUAAAAGCAGGGCACAAUCAUUACAAGCGUGUGCCACAUGCAGCAAAACUAGCAAUGGCACAAAUUUGCUUUAUGCUGCAGUGCACGCCCUCGCGCAUGGGGCUGGUGCAGGGCAUUUUGUCUUGGGUGGGGGUGGGAGGCUGGGGUCAGCACCCGUUCUGGCCCCAGCAACUUCACGUGGGGCCUCCCUGGGCAGCAGUGGCAGCAAGCCCACGGCUCGGAGCCUGCCCGGUAGCCAAAACAUAGCUCUGCCCAGCCAGGCUCUGGUUCUGGAAGCACGCACUGUUGCCACGGGCACUGUGCCAAUUUUUUCUUUUGUAUUUUGACACCAGGAUCUCUGAGUGUCAAAUUUUGGCACCACACUGUAAAUCCGCAGCAUGGCAAAUGGGUGCAUGUGCACCACGGGUGGUGUGUGGGGCCUGAAAUGGGUUGGAGGUGCCACAAAUUGCAUGUGCACGCUCAUCGGGACAAGCUUUAGGUGUACAAAGAAAUGGCACAAUGCACGUUGAACUAUUUUUGUCUUUGUGUCUCUCUGAUUUAUUCCUGUUUGAUUUUAAAAGGUAGAGAUGUGCUUAGCACCCAAUCACCUUGGCUCCUUGCACCCUAGAAGUAGUCACUGAGAAUUAACCACCUUUCGAACUCAUUCACAGGCCAGAUCAGGAGGAAGGGUGUGGAUGUAUCCCUCUGCCAUCCUUCCUCAAGUGCUGCCGCACUCGGCAGCCGAGGCCCCAAGCGAGCAGGCAGGAAGGGCACGAGGAGCCCGCUCCAGGAGCAGCCUCAGGCCCUGGGCAGGCGGCACGCGGGCAGUAGCAGCAGCAGGAGGCAGGCCUGGAGCAGGGAGCCAGCUCCAGGAGCACCAGCAGCCGCCAAGAGCAGGCCAUGUAAAACUGUAUUGAAAACCUGCUGCAGGAUUUCAUAAAUAUCAACAGCUUUUUCUGUGGAUACAGGGCCUUGGCUUCUCCAGGCGAGGUCCUAGAAGUGCUCCUCCGCAGGCAUGGAAACGAGGAGACCUGGAAUGGCUCAGGAGAUAGCAGGCAGGAUUUCCCAGAGUCCAGAACAGUCCUCGAGAACUCUUUGGAGACGCCCGUAUCAUUCGGAGCCUGAUGCCGAACAGCAAAGGCUCCGUAUACAAAAGCAUCCUGUUAACCUGCCCGGACAGGACCACCGGCGUCAUAGAAUAAAUACUGGCCAAAUACAACGUGGACCUGAUAGAAGUUGACAACUUUGAACUCGUGCAGGUCAUCUCCGAGCACAAAGGCCGUGCACAAAGUUGUCGAAAACCUGAAGCAGGAUUUCGUAAAUAUUCACAGUUUCUUCUGUGAAUACAGGGCCUUGGCUUCUCCAGGCGAGGUCCUGGAAGUGCUCCUCCCCAGGCAUGGAAACAAGGACACCUGGGCUGGUUCAGGAGAUGCCAGAACAGUCCUCGGGAAGUAAGUGUGGCUUUCUGCUGUACAGCAAAACCUGUCAGGAUUCAGAGCGUGUGGGCAGCUUAAGCAUCUCUAUAUAUGAU